UUACGAGAGGUCCCUAACGUAGUCAAACUCUGGCCCUGGCCGGGCCCCAGCCUGAGCUCUGUGCCUAUGGGCUGCUGGCACUGAAGUAGUUUGUACAACA
rnacentral:snoRNA from 1 species